GUAAAACCCCUCCCGCAGGCCUUGCACUUGCAGGGCUGACGGCCCUGGGUGAAUCUGCCGGUGCUGCAGCAGCGGAUACUUGGCUCUUAUCUCAGGACCUGACCUCCCACUGAGCUCCAAGCCUGCAAAGCAUGCUGCCACCCAGUUGUCAGGGAGAUUCACAGGACAUUAUUAAGAAAAAGAGAAGAUAAAAAAGAAAAGGAGAAGAUAACCCACAGAGCAGGUAAAAAUCUUUGCUAAUCAUAUAUCUGGGAAGGGAUUUGUACCUAGACUGUAUAAAGAACUAUUGCAACUCAAUGAUAAAAAAGACAAAUAAUCCAAUUUAAAAAUGGAAUUAGGCUGGGCACGGUGGCUCACGCCUGUAAUCCCAGCACUUUGGGAGGCUGAGGUGGGCGGAUCACCUGAGGUCAGGAGUUUGAGAACAGUCUGGACAACAUGGUGAAACCCUGUCUCUACUAAAAGUACAAAAAUUAGCCAGGCAUGGUGGCAUGUGCCUGUAAUCCCAGCUACUCGGGAGGCUGAGACAGGAGAAUCACUUGAACCCGGGAGGCAGAGGUCACAGUGAGAAGAGAUCACGCCACUGCACUCCAGCCUAGGCGAGAGAGCAAGACUCAGUCUCAAAAAACAAAAAAAGGAAAGAAAGAAAGAAAUCAGUCGAGUGUGGUGGCCUGCACCUCUAGUCCCAGCUACUCGGAAGGCUGAGAAUCACUUGAACCAUGGAGGUGGAGGCUGCAGUAAGCCGAAAUUGUGCCACUGCACUCCUGGGCAACAGAGGAGUCCUUGUCUCAAGAAAAAGAAAGAAAAAGAAAAAAAAUUAAAUGGGCAAAUGACUUGAAUAGACAGUUCAAAGAAGUUAUAUAAAUGGCCAAUAAUUACAUGAAAAGAUCCUCAACAUCAUUAGUCCUCAGAAAAAUGCAAAUCAAAACUACAACGAGGUGCCACAUCAUACAUAUUAGGAUGGUGAUAAUAAAAAAGACAGGUAAUUACGCCAGUAGUGGCGGCUCAUGCCUGUAAUCCCAUCACUUUGAGAGGCUGAGGUGGGCGAAUCACCUGGGCUCAGGAGUUCGAGACCAGCCUGGUGAACAUGGUGAAACCUAGUCUGUACUAAAAACACACAAAAAAUUAGCCAGGCAUGGUGGCGGGUGCCUGUAGUCCCAGCUACUCAGGAGGCUGAGGCAGGAGAAUCACUUGAACCUGGCAGGUGAAGGCUGAAGUGAGCUGAGAUCACGCCACUGCACUCCAGCCUGGGAAACAGAUGGAGACUCUAUCUCAAAUAAUAAUAACAUUAUUAUUAUUUUUAAAAAUAAUAUUUAAAAAACAUUAAAAUUUUUUUUUUAAAUAAUAUUUUUAAAAAUGAUAUUUUUUAAAUGAUAAUAUUUACAGGCAGUGGCUCACACUUGUAAUCCCAGCACUUUGGGAGGCCGAGGUGGGCGGAUCACCUGAGCUCAGGAGUUUGAGACCAGCCUGGCCAACUUGGUGAAACCCUGUCUCUACUAAAAAUACAAACAUUUGCUGGGCGUGGUGACAGGCGCCUAUAAUCCCAGUCACUUGGGAGGCUGAGGCAGGAGAAUCACUUGAACCUGGGAGGCGUAGGUUGCAGUGAGCUGAGAUCACGCCACUGCACUCCAGCCUGGUGACAGAGUGAGAUUCCG
rnacentral:lncRNA from 10 species